rnacentral:lncRNA from 1 species
GUUAAAUAGAAGUGGGAAAGUGGACAUACUUUAUUCCUUUUAUUUUUCACCCCUCGUGACAGAUGGUGUUAACUUUUUUUGGUGGAUGCUCUUUGUGGUUGAGUAUUUUUAUCAGGAAAUGGUGUUGAUUUUGUUAAAUGCUUUCUUUCGAUGCCUAUUGAGAUAAUCAUGUGGUUUUGACCUUUAUUCUACUAACAUGGUAUAUUGUAUUGAUUGAUGUUUAUAUUUUGAACCUACAUUUCAAGCCUGGGAUGAACAGUGUGUGCUGUGUGGAUGUACUGAAGUAUCACAAUGGACCCCAUUGUAUCAGUUAAGGUUCAUUAGAGGAACAGAUUUGAUUUACAAGGUGGGCCUACAGUGGCUGCCUGCAGAGUAAGGAGAAUGCAAGAGGGCUGUCUGCACUCUGGAGAUCAGCAGAAUCCAGUCAAAGUCAGGGGCCUGGAGCUCACUGUAGAGUCCUGCACAAGUUUGAAUUGGGAAGCCAAAGGACCUGAGCCAGGAGACUGAAGAGCCUGCACUGGAAGCUUGGAGACAGACGUCCGAAGGUGAUGGUGAAGACUGCAGUGCCCCUGAAGAAGCCAGACAUUUCUUUCCCUGUUUAUUCCAUCCAGGCUGCAAGUCUAUUGGUUGAUGUGACCCACACCCAAGUGAUAACAUAGCUAAGGAAGAAAUAACCAGCUCUGCCACUAGAUCGCCUGAAUUCAAAUCCCAGCUCUACCAUUUACUAACUGUGGAAUCUGGAAUGAUGCUGUCAGAACUGCCAACAGUCUGGAUUGCACAUGCUGUGUGGGCACAGUCUCACCAGUGACCAGGAUGUGGAACUCUGAGCAAAAACCCUG